CCAGGCUGGUCGGGUGGGCCCAGAGAGUGAUGGUGAAUGGUGCUGCGUCCAAGUAGGGAUCAGUCACCAGCCGUGUUCCCCAGGGAUCUGUGUUCGGCCCAGUCCUGUUUAGUACCUUUUCUGAUGAUCUGAAUGAGGGGACUGAGUCUGCCACACUAAGUUAGCAGGUGACACCAAGCUGGGUCAUUCUGUGAUACCAGAGGAAAGAAAAUUCUUCUUGCAUAAGGACCAUUUAAGCUGUAAAAGAUAUGAAACCACAGUCAAACUCAUAAGUCACUUCAAAAAGAAAAGUGCAAAAAAAUUUAUAGAAACCACAGUCACUGAAAUACCUACUGACUUUUGGGACAUAUCUAAUUGUUUGUUGUUAACGCCAAAGAAGUAUAAUAAACACAGAUUUUUUUUGGCUUCUAUCAUAAUUUGACACUUAUGCCAAACCAUAGUCAGAGCAAGCUGGUUCAAUACUUCCAAUAAAAAGUACUCCAUUUGUGAUUGUAGAACUGUGGAGGUGGGUAAGAACUUUCCUGCUGUAGCUGCCUGAGAUGGAGCGAUGGAUGUCGCCCUGUCUUUUCCAGCUGGAGAAGAGACAGGCUGAAAAUAUGACUGAUUGUCUAGCAGUCAGUGGCUUCUUUUACUGGGUUUCCUUCGCACCUAGGAGGUGUUUGUGGGAGGUGCUGCACCAUAUGGAAAAGCUGGAAAAGCUACACAUCUAAAUCGGCAGAGCACAGAUAUGAGGCAAACUGAAUUUAGUCACAUAAACAGCCACAACCAGAAUACCAGUUAUAUACAUCUUUCAUGUAUAAACAACUCAGACUGGUUGGAGUGACUGCAGUCAUCAUUUCUACACAGAUGCUUAUUCAACAAGAAAUGAAGACAGAAAGGAACAAUUCCAGAAGUGCCAGACUAUCAGCAAACAUUGAGGACUAUUGACUUUGGUCUAAUACAUGUUGAUUCUGCUUAACUACCCAGACUGGUUUAACCCAGAUUCAGAAACUACAACAGAGCAAGAUUUCAGCACCUUUUAUAGAUGGUGCGAAAAGGUAUCUGAAUAGACAGACAACAGACAAUACAAUACAGGUGUCAGUGCAUCAAACUGUAAUCCCAAGGAAGACUAAGGGCUGUCUGGCACUGUGAUGGACUGUGUUGGCUAAGUCACAUUGUCACUGUCCCUUGGAGUCGCUACACAUUACCAUGAGUGUGCUCAUACCUACAGUAAUGGUGUUUUGUUCCUGACCCAAGAUUCCCCAGAUUCAUCCCUCUGAGGUACCCAGUCCCUGCUGUGUACUGUGACAGAGAGAGUGAAAAUGCUGGGACCUGAGAUUCUUCCUGAUCUAGCAAAACAAAACCCAGCUUCCCAGAGGAGCUCACUGCCGGUUUCCUCACAUGCUGAGGAUGGUGAAUUCAUAUAAAAAGGUGCUGAUCUCUGUUCUUCAGUCCUGAAAGUCCUUGAAAAACAGAAGAAAUAUAGCCAUGACCCGAAGCGGGUGUAACCACUACAGUAUAAUGUGAUACCUUGUAUCUUUGGAGUCACUUCUCUCAGCAGUGCUUCUGGUUCAAGGACCGAAUGGGGAGACAGAAGAGACGCUGGUCCCUCCAUCCUCAGUACCCAGCCUGGUACGGGUUGCACAGGAGGGUCUUAAUCUGUUUUCUCAGUCCUGUUCACAGUCACAAGCAGCAAGAGGGAAGCAACACAGCCAUCCAGCAAGUUCAGCAUGCUGCAUGCCAAUUGGCACGAGAAAGGUAGGCCUUUUCUAUUGAUAAUUCACUCAGGUUGUGUGUGAUGCAUAAUGACAUGGUGCAGACAUAUCUGCAAUAAGUGCUGGGUAUCGAGGGGCACAGAUGUGGAUGAGGUAAUUUACAGCACUGCUGUGCUCCUGCCAAAAUACAGUAUAAACAUGACUGUCCCAAGACUGAAGGUGGACAGUAUGGAAAUUAAGUCAGAGGCCUAAAACAGAAGGCUAUAGCAGAGCUCAGCCUGUGGUCAGGAAUGCUCAGGAUUAGCGCAUGGAGAAAACAGGCAGAAGUUGUUAUGUAAACAGAUAUUCUCUUAAACUUAGACUCAUUUGCCUCUCCACCACAUUCCUCUGAGGUCUCAUCUGCCUCAAAUGAAUUUAGAGAGAGUCGCUGUAUUGAGAAUUGUAGGACACAUGCAAGAAUGUGCAGCCAUAGCUUCUUCCUGCACAGCAGCAGAUUCAGUGGGUUGUGGAGACUUUUGGUGUUUCAUGUGCAAAAACAGGCUGGUGCCAUUCAAAAGUCAAACAUUUCCGUGUAGCCACAAGAGCAAAACUGAUGCAGGCAGCAGCUGUAUGCUUGUUUUUACUGGACCAAUAGCAAAAUACCUCUCUACCCAUGUAUUCAGUGCACUGGAGUUCCUCCAUUUUAUGACAUUUGCUCAGUAUUUGCAAAUUUGUACAUCCUAAUAGAACAUUUGUACUAUUAGGAAAGAGAUUUUUGUUGCCAUUGAACAAGCAAUUUGGAGAUUUUAAUUUCCCAUUAAGUCAAGCAUUUUUAUAAAGCACUGCCUGCUGUACUCUACAUUAAAAAUCCUGUAC